UACGUAGGGUGCAAGCGUUGUCCGGAAUCAUUGGGCGUAAAGCGCGUGUAGGCGGCUUGGUAAGUCAGCUGUGAAAGCCCAGGGCUCAACCCUGGGAUGCCGGUUGAUACUGCCAAGCUCGAGUCCGGAAGAGGAGUGUGGAAUUCCUGGUGUAGCGGUGAAAUGCGCAGAUAUCAGGAGGAACACCAAUGGCGAAGGCAGCACUCUGGGACGUGACUGACGCUGAGACGCGAAAGCGUGGGGAGCAAACAGG
rnacentral:rRNA from 2 species